rnacentral:rRNA from 1 species
ACUUUCAACAACGGAUCUCUUGGUUCUGGCAUCGAUGAAGAACGCAGCAAAAUGCGAUAAGUAAUGUGAAUUGCAGAAUUCAGUGAAUCAUCGAAUCUUUGAACGCACAUUGCGCCCGCCAGCAUUCUGGCGGGCAUGCCUGUUCGAGCGUC